CGCAGCCGCGGUAAUUCCAGCUCCAAUAGCGUAUAUUAAAGUUGUUGCAGUUAAAAAGCUCGUAGUUGAAUUUCGGGAUCAAGUCGUCGGUCGUGCCUCGGUACGCACUGGUGACAUUGGUUUCUCCCUUCUGAAGAACCUUGAUGUCAUUAAUUUGGUGUCUUGGGGAAUCAGGACUGUUACUUUGAAAAAAUUAGAGUGUUUAAAGCAGGCUCACGCUUGAAUACAUUAGCAUGGAAUAAUGAAAUAGGACGUUUGAUUCUAUUUUGUUGGUUUCUAGGAUCGACGUAAUGAUUAAUAGGGAUAGUUGGGGGCAUUAGUAUUCAAUUGUCAGAGGUGAAAUUCUUGGAUUUAUUGAAGACUAACUACUGCGAAAGCAUUUGCCAAGGAUGUUUUCAUUAAUCAAGAACGAAAGUUAGGGGAUCGAAGACGAUCAGAUACCGUCGUAGUCUUAACCAUAAACUAUGCCGACUAGGGAUCGGAUGAUGUUAAUUUUUUAAUGACUCAUUCGGCGCCUUAC
rnacentral:rRNA from 1 species